CAACGUGGGCAAUCUGCCGAAAAGUGGGGGAUAGCUCGCCGAAAGGCGAAUUAAUACCGCAUGUGGUGAGGGACGACAUCUUCCUGAAUCCAAAGCCGGGGUCAAACCUGGCGCUUUUUGAGGAGCCCGCGGCCUAUCAGCUAGUUGGUGAGGUAACGGCCCACCAAGGCUUUGACGGGUAGCUGGUCUGAGAGGACGACCAGUCACACUGGAACUGAGACACGGUCCAG
rnacentral:rRNA from 1 species